ensembl:lncRNA FAM86JP family with sequence similarity 86 member J, pseudogene
GGCCCCGCCCACGUCAUGGCGCCCGAGGAGAACGCUGGGACCUAACUCUUGCUGCAGAGUUUGCAGCGCCGCUUUCUGGCGGCGCGCGCGCUGCGCUCCUUCCCCUGGCAGGUGGGCGGCGGGGCGAGCGGAGAGGCCCGCAGGGCUCGCGGGAGUCCAGGGGCAGACGGGAUGGGUCUCCGUGCAGAAGCCCCCGACACGCCCGCCACAGCUUAGAAGCAAAAUUAACAGACUCAUCAGAUUCUGAGCUUCUGCGGGAUAUUUUGCAGAAGACUGUGAAGCAUCCUGUGUGUGUGACGCACCCGCCGUCAGUCAAGUAUGCCCGGUGCUUUCUCUCAGAACUCAUCAAAAAGACGUGCUGUAUUGCCCAGAAGCCAUCGUGUUGCUGGUCGGGGUCCUGCUGAGGCUGGCUGCCUGCCGGGAGCACCAGCGGGCUCCUGAGGUCUAUGUGGCCUUUACUGUCCGCAACCCAGAGACAUGCCAGCUGUUCACCACCGAGCUAGGCCAGGCCAGGAUCAGAUGGGAAGUGGAACCUCGUCAUGACCAGAAACUGUUUCCCUAUGAAGAGCACUUGGAGAUGGCAAUGCUGAACCUCACACUGUAGGACUCACACACGACUCCAAUGGGAUUGUGAGAAUCAAGUCACUCUCAAGGGAAGAGGUUUCAUAUGGGAAAGCUGAUAAAACUUUCACUGGACUGGAAUGUUUGGAGAAUGUUAAUUUCCAAAUCAGGAACUACAAACUGCCCUCUAAUAAGACAUCGGCUAUCUAAGCGUGUGGGUGCUCCCUUUCUGCCAGCAGUUCUGGUUCUUAAGGAAAUCGCCAUCACUCAGACAUGAAAACUCUGGCUCCAAAAAUAGCAUUUUCUUUGUGCAAAUAAAAACGUGUGUAUCAAGUAUGUGGACACACUCGGUUCCUCACAAAGCCAAGCCUGCUGCAGCUGCCACAUCCCUGGACACACUUGGUUCCUCACAAAGCCAAGACUGCUGCAGCUGCCACAUCCGCGGACACACUCAGUUCUUCACAAAGCCAAGCCCGCUGCAGCUGCCACAUCCCUGGGCUUACGAUGCAGCAGGUGCUUUUUUCAAGACAGGAAUCAAAAUGUUAGGAACACGGCAGAAAGGUGACACCUGGAGACCAAACGCAGGAUAAGGAGUACUGCAGAGGUCACAGGGAAGUCACAGAACAGUAAUACGCUAGCAGGGGCAUGGGGCAUGAAGAACAGAAGAAGAGAGGAAGUGUUUCCGAGCCUCCGGAAAAGAAAUCAGAGCCAAGCACAGCUUCCCGGGUCACAGAACCAAUUCAUUCACCAGGCGGCACCACUGCCGUCAUUUCAGCUUCUGGCCACUGGGAGGCGCUGCUCAAAAGGGUUUGCCCUGAGACUCCGAGAAGAAGCUGCGGGAAGGACAGCAGGGGUCCCGGGGUUUUAGCCUCUGGCCCAGGAGUUGUAUGUCCAUAACCAAAGGGAGCACAGUCUGCACCCAGCUCUCAUCCCAUCGGAGCUGCUGCGACUCCCGCAGGUUCUUCCAAAACUGGUUUAGCUUGCCUGCAGGAUCAGGAAAGUUUGAGAAAAGCAUCUGCAAAAAAAUAAAGAGCAGAGCUUACCUCAUUGCCUGUCCCCACCCCAUCCCAGGUCACCACCUGGCUGACCCCAGGUCCCCGACCCAACAACAACCCCUCCCAAGUUCCUAACUCUCUCACUUGGACUCGAGACUCUUCACGCCCCAGCAGCGCUCCGCCUCCAACUUGACAUCAUGCUUUCUGGAAACUUCCCCGUAUGUCCCACUUUCCCACACUUGGUGCCCUGGAGCACCUCCCGGCCUCUAACGUGCUGUAUGUUCCCCUGCGAGCACCCUCCUCUUGGCCUCUGGCCAAGUCCCACCCAUCUGUGGGUAACAAGGGGGUGUCGGUGUUCUUUUCAGCCUUGCUAAACUCUCUGAAUCAAGGAUCACAAACUACAGCCUGCAGGCCAAAUCCAGCCCACAGCCUGUGUUUGUAAAUAAAGUUUUAUUGGAACAAAGCCACACCCCUUAA